GACGAACGCUGGCGGCGUGCUUAACACAUGCAAGUCGAACGGAAAGGCCCUGCUUUUGUGGGGUGCUCGAGUGGCGAACGGGUGAGUAACACGUGAGUAACCUGCCCUUGACUUUGGGAUAACUUCAGGAAACUGGGGCUAAUACCGGAUAGGAGCUCCUGCUGCAUGGUGGGGGUUGGAAAGUUUCGGCGGUUGGGGAUGGACUCGCGGCUUAUCAGCUUGUUGGUGGGGUAGUGGCUUACCAAGGCUUUGACGGGUAGCCGGCCUGAGAGGGUGACCGGCCACAUUGGGACUGAGAUACGGCCCAGACUCCUACGGGAGGCAGCAGUGGGGAAUAUUGCACAAUGGGCGGAAGCCUGAUGCAGCAACGCCGCGUGCGGGAUGAAGGCCUUCGGGUUGUAAACCGCUUUCGCCUGUGACGAAGCGUGUGUGACGGUAAUGGGUAAAGAAGCACCGGCUAACUACGUG
rnacentral:rRNA from 1 species